GGCUCCAUAGUGUAGUGGUUAGCACAUCUGCUUUACACGCAGAAGGUCCUGGGUUCGUGCCCCAGGUGGAGCCA
rnacentral:tRNA from 1 species